UAACAUAGUGGCGGACGGGUGAGUAACGCGUGAGAAUCUGCCUUCAGGACGGAGACAACAGUUGGAAACGACUGCUAAGCCCCGAUGAACCGAAAGGGAAAAUAUUUAUAGCCUGAAGAUGAGCUCGCGUCCGAUUAGCUAGUUGGGGGGGUAAAGGGCCCACCAAGGCGACGAUCGGUAGCUGGUCUGAGAGGACGAUCAGCCACACUGGGACUGAGACACGGCCCAG
rnacentral:rRNA from 1 species